rnacentral:rRNA from 1 species
AAUCAACGCCGGCGGCGUGCCUCAGACAUGCAAGUCGAACGAUUAAAGCUCUCUUCGGAGAGUGCAUAGAGUGGCGCACGGGUGAGUAACACGUAAGUAAUCUACCUUCGAGUGGGGAAUAACGUCCGGAAACGGACGCUAAUACCGCAUAAUGCAGCGGCAUCGCAAGAUGACAGUUGUUAAAGAUUUAUCGCUUGAAGAGGAGCUUGCGGCAGAUUAGCUAGUUGGUAAGGUAAUGGCUUACCAAGGCUACGAUCUGUAACCGGACUUAGAGGACGGUCGGUCACACUGACACUGAAUAACGGGUCAGACUCCUACGGGAGGCAGCAGUCGGGAAUUUUGGGCAAUGGGCGAAAGCUUGACCCAGCAACGCCGCGUGAAGGAUGAAGUAUUUCGGUAUGUAAACUUCGAAAGAAUGGGAAGAAUCAAUGACGGUACCAUUUAUAAGGUCCGGCUAACUACGUGCCAGCCGCCGCCGUAAUAC